GAAAUGCGAUAAGUAGUGUGAAUUGCAGAAUUCAGUGAAUCAUCGAAUCUUUGAACGCACAUUGCGCCCCUUGGUAUUCCAUGGGGCAUGCCUGUUCGAGCGUCAUCUACACCCUCAAGCUCUGCUUGGUGUUGGGCGUCUUUGUCCCGUCUCCGCGCGUGGACUCGCCCCAAAGUGAUUGGCAGCCGGCGUACUGGUCCCGGAGCGCAGCACAUGUCGCGCAAACGAGUGCCUUGGUACGGCGGCGUCCAUAAGCCCCUCUCUCACGCUCUUGACCUCGGAUCAGGUAGGGAUACCCGCUGAACUUAAGC
rnacentral:misc_RNA from 1 species